AAGUCGUAACAAGGUUUCCGUAGGUGAACCUGCGGAGGGAUCAUUACAAAUAAAAGCUGGUAGGAAGUGGGGUCUUGAUCUGUAAGUGUAGAGCGAACAGUCCGGUGCCUCCCGAAAGUCUACAUGUCCCCCACAGCCUGAAAGGCCGAAAUUAAACCCUUGAUUAUCUAACUUGUUGCUUUGGGGUGCCAAGUGCCCCAGAGGACCCAACUCUCUUGCAUUUAGUGACGUCGAGUACUAUAUAAUAUUUAAAAA
rnacentral:misc_RNA from 1 species